UAUAAAGGAUAUGCAUUUUCUUUAAGUAGAGAAUAAUAAUAAUGAGCAUCCAUAUGUAAAUCACAGAAUUCUGAACAAGAGAAAGAUAGUGCUAUCAACGGGAAAGGGCUGACCAGCACCACUGACCCCCCAAAAUAGCCAGGUAGAAGAAGAGUCCUACAGCCUAUUACAAGGUGAUUAAUUGACUAGAUGCUCUGAGAAGAAAUUGGAACUUGGAUGAUCUGAAGAUAGUUAUCUCAAUUGAUUGUUCACAGCCAGUUACAGAUAGAAUUCCUUGUUCUACAUUUUCCUCCCUUCUCACUAGUGCACUUGAGUAGUCUUUAAAAAAAAUUGCAACUUCAGAGACCCCCAUGCUUGAACCACUGGGAGAAGAAACCUUAGGAUGACCUACCUGCAUACAAUAAAUAUGUUGGAUGUCACGAUAAGAUAAGUAUAAAUUGAGGCAAACUUUCUCUCACCAAAAUUCUACAGGCAAAAUGGGGAGAUUGGAAGAAAAGAUGUGGGCUUGUAAAAUCCAAUUACAUUUUACUUUAAUUUUAUAAAGAAGGUUCACAUCAAGAAAUUCCAAGUGAGGUUCAGACCAAUCACCUCAGAAUAAACUGAUUGGAUGAUAAUGCUGAUUCCUAAAGCAUCAUUGAUCUGAGAUAGCCAUAAUUUUUUUUUGAUAUCUUGAAAGAUUGGCAGAAACACAACGGAUUAGAACAUCUUGAU
rnacentral:lncRNA from 1 species